AGCAAAAGAGACAACACGAGUUACAGAAGUUAAAUUCUGCCUACUUUCAAGAGGCGAGGCUUACAACAAGUAGAUCAGGGAUGCUUAGAUCAAAAAGUGAGAGUUUAUCCCUUCUGGUGAAUAAUCGAAAAGUAGAAUUUAAUGACAGGUAUAG